UAUGUUUUAUAGAGAGCAACUUACUUUACCAUUAUGGGUGCUCUAAGAGCACCCGCAAUGGUAAAGUAAGGUGCUAUCUAUAAAACAUGU
rnacentral:misc_RNA from 1 species